rnacentral:misc_RNA from 1 species
UGAGUUAUCUAAACUCCAACCCUAUGUGAACUUACCGCCGUUGCCUCGGCGGGCCGCGUUCGCCCUGUAGUUUACUACCUGGCGGCGCGCUACAGGCCCGCCGGUGGACUGCUAAACUCUGUUAUAUAUACGUAUCUCUGAAUGCUUCAACUUAAUAAGUUA